UGAGUACGAGAUGCUACGGCAUCGAAGCAGUCUAUGUCAUACUUCCAAGAAAAGCUUGCAAUGUCAUAAACAAAUAAUGCCUGUACCAUAACCGACACAGGUGGGUAGGUAGAGUAUACUAAGGGGCGCGAGAUAACUCUCUCUAAGGAAUUCGGCAAAAUGACUCCGUAACUUCGGGAGAAGGAGUGCCUUAUUUUUAUAAGGUUGCAAUAACAAGAUCCAAGCAACUGUUUACCAAAAACACAGGUCUCCGCUAAGUCGUAAGACGAUGUAUGGGGGCUGACGCCUGCCCAGUGCCAGAAGGUUAAAGAAGUUGGUUAGCAUUAGCGAAGCUGAUAACUGAAGCCCUGGUGAACGGCGGCCGUAACAAUAACGGUCCUAAGGUAGCGAAAUUCCUUGUCGGGUAAGUUCCGACCCGCACGAAAGGCGUAAUGAUUUGGAUACUGUCUCGGAGAGGGGCUCGGUGAAAUAGACUUGUCUGUGAAGAUGCGGACUACCUGCACCUGGACAGAAAGACCCUAUGAAGCUUUACUGUAACUUGAGAUUGAAAUUGGACUUUAUCUGCGCAGUAUAGGUGGGAGACGUUGAAAAUAUUCUUGCGGGAAUAUUGGAGUCAUCAGUGAGAUACCACUCUUAUAAUGUUAGAUUUCUAACUUUGUAUCAUUAUCUGGUCAAAGAACAGUUUCAGGCGGGCAGUUUGACUGGGGCGGUCGCCUCCCAAACGGUAACGGAGGCGCACAAAGGUUUCCUCUGAACGUGUAGAAAUCGUAUCUAGAGUGUAAAGGCAUAAGGAAGCUUGACUGUGAGACCUACAAGUCGAGCAGGGACGAAAGUCGGUCUUAGUGAUCUGACGGUGCUGAGUGGAAAGGCCGUCACUCAACGGAUAAAAGUUACUCUAGGAUAACAGGCUGAUCUCCCCCAAGAGUUCACAUCGACGGGGAGGUUUGGCACCUCGAUGUCGGCUCAUCGCAUCCUGGGGCGGUAGUACGUCCCAAGGGUUGGGCUGUUCGCCCAUGAAAGCGGUACGCGAGCUGGGUUCAGAACGUCGUGAGACAGUUCGGUCCUUAUCCGGUGUAGGCGUUAGAAUAUUGAGAGGAGCCUUCUUUAGUACGAGAGGACCGAGAAGGACAUACCUCUGGUUUACCAGUUAUCGUGCCAACGGUAAACGCUGGGUAGCCAUGUAUGGAGAGGAUAACCGCUGAAAGCAUCUAAGUGGGAAGCCCACCUCAAGAUAAGUAUUCUC
rnacentral:rRNA from 1 species